rnacentral:snRNA from 1 species
GUGGUCGCUUUGGCGGCACAAACACUAAAAUUGGAACAGCACAGAGAUUAGCAUGGCCCCUGCACAAGGAUGACGUGCAAAUUGUGAAGCGUUCCAUAUUAAA